CAGCGCCACGAGUGGCAAUCACGAUUAUUGGGCCUAAAGCAUCCGUAGCCGGCGCUGUAAGUUUUCGGUUAAAUCUGUACGCUCAACGUACAGGCUGCCGGGAAUACUGCAGCGCUAGGGAGUGGGAGAGGUAGACGGUACUCGGUAGGAAGGGGUAAAAUCCUUUGAUCUAUUGAUGACCACCUGUGGCGAAGGCGGUCUACCAGAACACGUCCGACGGUGAGGGAUGAAAGCUGGGGGAGCAAACCGGAUUAGAUACCCGAGUAGUCC
rnacentral:rRNA from 1 species